rnacentral:pre_miRNA from 12 species
AUUCAGAAAUGGUAUACAGGAAAAUGACCUAUGAAUUGACAGACAAUACAGCUGAGUUUGUCUGUCAUUUCUUUAGGCCAAUAUUCUGUACAACUGUGCUACUUC